rnacentral:misc_RNA from 1 species
AUGCUAGGCAAGGCUGGCGGGCUGGGGUUGGAGAGCGGUGUUCGUGGGACGAACGGUGAGCCGGGCUUGCUUCGCUGGUCCUUCUCUUCUUCUUCUCGCUCUCGCAUGGUGACUGCGACGUGGAGACGCUCGAGUAGAUGUGAGGCGCGGUCGUACAGGUUGUAUACUGGAUGUUAGCGGGCUAGUGCGAGAGUCGGGGCUCUUUUGGCGGAUCAGGCCAACCCUCGCCUCCUCGCCCUCCCUCGACUUUGCCAUGAGCGGCCCUCGGCGCCUCCUGAGCGGCAGGGUUCGCCCGUCGCUCGGAGGUCUCGGUGACCGCAUCCCCGCUCACGCGGAUUGCGCGCGACCUGCCGGGGGAAGCGGCGCUCUCCUCAACCUCUAAAGGAGGGCGGGGCGAGGCUUGCGUGCUCGAGGGAGGGAGGAGACACGCUUCUCGAAGGUCUGGACAUGCUGCUUUGAACAGAGAGACGUAUACGGGACAUUCGGCUUCCUAUCGGGCAUUAUCAGCGCCUGGAAUGAACACAAUCUCGACGUCGAGGGCCCUUUACGCUCGUUUGCCCGCCGAGGACUGCGUUUGCUCGUGCUUGACCAGGGAGACUGCGGCGCCGAGUGGACAAAUGUGUAGCUUAUGUGGAAUGACUCAGGGGAGGACAACCAUGUGG